GGUGGAGGAGGAGGAGGAGGACAAUAAAGAUGACCACUAUGAAUAUGAGAAGAAAGGAGAAGAUGAGGUUGAGGAUCAGGGGAAGAAGAUCAUCCUGCAUGCUAAUAAGGGCAAAGGAAGCCAUGGAUAAACAUCAAUGAAUCGGUUCUUUGUAGAUUUGAGACACAUGGAAACAUAUCAGUGAUCCUCAUCUAAUAUUCUUCAUCCAAAUAUAUGCAAAUAAAACUUCUCAAACUGUUUAAAUAUUCUUUAAAUUAAAAAUAAAUAUAAUUUGAAAUGAA